UUGGAUCUGGCUCAGAUUGAACGCUGGCGGCAGGCCUAACACAUGCAAGUCGAGCGGAUGAAGGUAGCUUGCUAUCUGAUUCAGCGGCGGACGGGUGAGUAAUGCCUAGGAAUCUGCCUGGUAGUGGGGGACAACGUUUCGAAAGGAACGCUAAUACCGCAUACGUCCUACGGGAGAAAGUGGGGGAUCUUCGGACCUCACGCUAUCAGAUGAGCCUACGURCGARUAGCURGUUGGUGCGGUAUUGCUCAGCAAGGCGACWUWKUWAACUGGUCUGAGAGGAUGAUCAGUCACACUGGAACUGAGACACGGUCCAGACUCCUACGGGAGGMAGCWGUKGGGAAUAUUGGACAAUGGGCGAAAGC
rnacentral:rRNA from 1 species